rnacentral:tRNA from 1 species
GCCCUGGUGAUCUAGUAGUUAAGAUGCGGGGCUUUCACUGCCGUGGCCCAGGUUAGUUUCCUGGUCAGAGAA